rnacentral:lncRNA from 1 species
GUAAAAUGUGAAGAGUCAAAAAUUAGUUUUAUGGUUCAAUAAAAUUAAAAUAAAUUAUUGCCAUUCAUUACAAAUAAAUUUCUAUCAAAACUAAGGCUCAAAGUACUUUUUAUAUUAUUUAUAUUAACAAUAACAACGUACACACGUGUUGCCGUAUGAAUACACAACGUCAAAGUGGGCGUGUCGCCAUCAAAAUUGACAACAUUGAAAAUAAAACUAAUAAUUUUAAUCAAUCAGAAGACAGUAAAAACACAAAAUUUAUUUAUUUAAGAUUAACAAUUCUUGCAGACCUUACGAAACUCAUGAAAUCAUUAUUCAUACUGACUUUGUAUAUGCUGUCCUGAACCACUACCCACUGGAUGUCCAACUUUGGUUGAGUCUUCACUUUUUCAUGAACAGUGCUAGAUGGAUAUGUAUUAUCCUUAUAUUUUCCUUUAUUUUGAAUCUAAAUUUGUUUUGUUAACAUAUGUUUUGCUUUUUGUAUAGAUCUUUGAAUUUUAACUAAAUUCCAACAAAUAUAGUAUAUCUCAGCUUCACAAUUGUUCAUUACAAACCUAUGAAACCAUUAUGCAUACUG